UCCAUAAAGAUGGAGACAUGUCUGGCCAAGUGCAGCGUGCAGACAAUCCCCGGGACAGUGAAAUGUCUCCUUUCAACUCUGUAACUGAAACCUUGCAUGGUGUGGUGGAGGCCUUCUCUGGCCUGGAGAAAUGUGCAGCCAGAUCUCAGCGCAAGGACAUUUCCAACGCCAGCACAGCGCCUCGGAGCAUGGAUCUUUUGACACCCU